rnacentral:rRNA from 1 species
CCUACGGGAGGCAGCAGUGGGGAAUCUUGCGCAAUGGGCGAAAGCCUGACGCAGCCAUGCCGCGUGAAUGAUGAAGGUCUUAGGAUUGUAAAAUUCUUUCACCGGGGACGAUAAUGACGGUACCCGGAGAAGAAGCCCCGGCUAACUUCGUGCCAGCAGCCGCGGUAAUACGAAGGGGGCUAGCGUUGCUCGGAAUUACUGGGCGUAAAGGGAGCGUAGGCGGAUAGUUUAGUCAGAGGUGAAAGCCCAGGGCUCAACCUUGGAAUUGCCUUUGAUACUGGCUAUCUUGAGUAUGGGAGAGGUAUGCGGAACUCCGAGUGUAGAGGUGAAAUUCGUAGAUAUUCGGAAGAACACCAGUGGCGAAGGCGGCAUACUGGCCCAUUACUGACGCUGAGGCUCGAAAGCGUGGGGAGCAAACAGGAUUAGAUACCCUGGUAGUCCACGCUGUAAACGAUGAGUGCUAGUUGUCGGCAUGCAUGNAUGUCGGUGCGCGAGCUACGACAUAAGUACACUCCGCCGUCGGGUAGGUACGGUCGCGAGAGUAAACGUACGAAGAAGUAGACGGCGUGAGACGUGCCGACGGACGACGACGAGGGAGGAGG